rnacentral:lncRNA from 10 species
CGGCCGCGGGGCCCGGGCACCGGGCGCGGCCUGCUGGUGACCCCGCGCCGCGUCGUGUCCGGGUUGUGUCCUGCAGGCCGAAGCGGCAGCCGAAGCCGUCCUCGGAUGAGGGUUACUGGGACUGUAGCGUCUGCACCUUCCGGAACAGCGCCGAGGCCUUCAAGUGCAUGAUGUGCGAUGUGCGGAAGGGCACCUCCACCCGAGAUAACAGGAAGAGAGCCUGGUUACCAUUUGGUGGAACAAUCCUGCUGGCUCAAGCCUCUGCCUAGAAAUUUGGGUCAUUCUCUUUUUUGGACAGUCUGGAAACCUCGACCUGUCUCCCAGUUGGUUGCACAGCAGGUUACUCAGCAGUUUGUGCCUCCUACACAGUCAAAGAAAGAGAAAAAAGAUAAAGUA